rnacentral:lncRNA from 1 species
UUCACACUCCAUGUUCUGAGAAAGAUUUACCAUCCGAAAAGCGAAAAAAGCAAAAAAAACCGAGUCUUUGUCUAAAGAAAAAAGGGUGGAUGUAUAGAAGAGACAGUGCUUUUUCAAUUCUCUCAAAAUGGAAGCUAUUACAAACAUAUUUGCCAUGGUUCUUUACUUUGACAGGGUACAAAUAUCUAACUUUUCUAUUUUUAGAUACUUUUGAAGACGUAUUGUCGAUACUAAGUAGCAGUAAAUUUGUAUCCCGUUUUCAUGAUAUUAUGGAUGAAUUAUAUAUAUCAUGGCGAAUUCUUCAGAAAAAAUUAUCUUCCACAAUGGAAUUUGAUAAGUGAGAUUUGAGCAAGUGUUUACAUAAUUUUCUUCUGAAAUAAAAACUACAAAAAUAAUUUUAUUUUUCUUAAAAUAAAAUGGUUUUAGAGAAAUAGCGGUAAAAAAUUGUCAUUAAUAUAAAAUAAAAAUUUGCAAAAAAAAAAUUAUUAUACUUAGUACAAAAAGUGGUUUAAGGGUAUUAGUGAGGGAAUUUUCACUGCUAAUUCUUAGCUUAUUUUAGUUCAUUCUAGAAUUUUGGCAUGCUCUAAUUACUGAAAUGGAAUGUAAUUUCCAUCAGUAAUUUGAUUUUUUUAGAGGCAAAAUUCCAUCACUAAAAGUAAAAGACUAUUCCACUUAAAUUCAUUGAUGUUUUAUCCAAACUUUUUCUCUCGAUGGUCAUUAUUGGCAUGCUUUCUUGUAGUGAAUCACCCUCUAUAACUUCCAAUAUCUAAAUCUAAACUUUUUUGAAAUUUAAAUUGAUUAAAUGCAACCUUACAAUAACAAAGAAAAUCAUUAAAAAAAAAUAAAAUUCAACUCAAAAUAAUAAGUAAAAAUGGUAAUGGUAUAAAGUGAAAAUGGGUUGGGUAAAUGGGGAGUUUGGUGAUAGGGAGUAUUUUUGGGAAAUUUGGGUUUGACAAAAGGAAGGAAAAGUUAGAGUGGAAGCUAAUUGUUAACGGAAACGUUACUAUAAAUGAUAACUUAUAAUUUUGACACGGAUUUGGAGGAGGCAAGAGAGAGACGUGUGAUUUGAAAAUAGGAAAAAGCGUUGAGCGUGAGAGAAAAUAAAAAAAAAAGAAAGAGAAAAAGAAUAGAAAAAAAAGAGAAAAAGAGAUUAAGUAAAAAAAGAUAGUGUCAGUUAAGUAUAGUAGAAAAUAAAGAAAAAAAAAAGCUAAAGUUUAUGUCUGUUUUCCUAUUAAAGAUAAGAAAUAAUGGUGUGAAGGGAGGAGAGUUGGAUUUGAAGAAGUUUCAAGGGCAAAAGAAAAAAAAAAUUAAAGACCUUUUUAAUUUUAUUUGAGCAGAGUUGGCUACGAAAAAGGAAGGGAGGAAUAUGCUUGACUUUUUUUUCUCUAUCUAUUAUGGUCUGGUUAAAACUUCGUAGAAAAAUUUUAACUUCUUCUUCUUUGACCAUCAUAAGAGAAAGAGAAGAAAGGGAUCCUCAGUUUUACUUAUUUAUCAUUAGAUGUGUAAAUAAGAUAUACAUACUUAUAAGUUAAUAGAAUUCAACUUAAAAAAAUUAAAUUUAUUUUAAUUAUUUUUGACUCGAUCUUAAAUUUGAGUAAUUCAAAUAAUUAAACAAAUCGAAUUCGAAUAUUUUAAUAUAUAAUGAGUAACUCACGAUCUUAAUAAAGUUUUUUUAUUUUAAUAGAUAUUUUAAAUAUUAAAUUAUUGUUUACAAUUUUACCCUUUUAUAUAUAAAACUGUUAAACGGUAAACAACUAACCUUCAAAAUUUUUUCUUUCCUCCACACUCCCAGCGGCGCACCCGAGAACUCUAACCCCCCCCCCCCCCCCACCAACCCAAAUCACAAUCCCAGACUUUGCCACCCUUUGCUUUUUCCUUUCUGCCAUAUUUGUUUGUAAUCCAAAGAUUUUGCUUAAAAUCAGGCCGUCAUCAGUUCAUUCAAACUCUUUAUUUUUUGCUUUUAUUGCUUUGCGCUUUAAAAUUAUCUUACUCCAUCGAUUGUUGCUUCAUACUCGUUUCUACGUUCAUCAGUUCCUUAAAGAGUCAUUGCCUUUGAAGACAAAUCCAUACCUUAACAACCAUUUUUUUUGUUUGAUGUUAGUUUCAAAGCAUAUCAGUAAAAAUCACAACUUUGUUCUUCAUUCUGUGUUCUGAGUUUGAUUUUAAUUUCAGGCUAAGUUUGAUUUAUAGAUUUUUUUUUUUGUUUUUGUAUUUUUUAAUUAUAUAAAUAGGGUUCUUGAUUCAAUUUAAAUACAUGAUUUACCUUAAUUUUAAGUUUAAAUACUCUGUUUUGGCUUUUUUUCUUCUUUUUGAAUAUUUUAGAUUUUUAAUGCAUCAAUUCUUUCAUAGAUUUUCUGGGUGUGUGUCAAUCUUGUUAUACAAGGUUGGAAUGUGCUCUUUUAUUAACGAAUAUCAUCCGGGAUUUGCUUUCUGUAAAAUUUUUUUUUUUUUUUAAGAUUUAGACAUUUGGUUUUAUAUAGAAUUUGAAUUUUGAAUUGAUGUAAAAUAUUUAUAAAAAAUUUCAAAUCGAGUUAAAUUUUAAAUUUGAUCUCAAUGUUAUUUUUUAUUUGAUAAUAAAUUUAAUAGAAUAAAAUUAAAAAAUUUAAUUUUUAUUUUAAACAAUUAAAAAAAAAUCGAUUUCUAGCUUCACACUCUACUCAUUGGGUAUUUGAUGACACAUAACUAACAUUCAAAGAUAAAAUGAAAAUGAAAAUGGAUAUCAAAUUUGUAAUGAAAUGCAAAUGCAAAUGAAACAUUCAUAAGUUUUUUAACUCCAAACUAGGUGGCCAUUACGUGUGCUUCUGAGGCUGGCUUUUAGUUUACGCGCUUUAUAUUAUCUCAAUCUUUUUUCAGUCCUAUCAUAGGAACCAAUUGAAACCGCUAAAAUCAUCAUUAAAUUAAAUAGAAGCUGAAACAAAAAAACCCAAGUAGGUUUUUUAUCAAAGCCCAAUAAAUAUUAAAUCAAUUUUUAUGAAAAAGUGAAAGAUAAUUUCUGUAAUUUUUUUGCUUUCAAUUUUUUAAUAUUUAAUAAAUUUAAGUUCAAUAUAUAUUAAAUUUGUUUUAAUAUAAAUAUAACUUAAAAAAUAGAAAAUAAAAGAACAAAUAAAUAUUUUUAAAAUUUUUCUAAAUUCAUUUUACUAAAACUAUUAAGUUUUUUUCUUUAAUACUCUCUAUGAGUAAAUUUACUCAACACAUCCCAUACUUAUAAUAUCCUAUUUUUACUUACGUUAUCUCACAUCCAAAAUAUAAAUUUACUUAAAUUUCAAACAUUUCAUCUCUUUUCCCUCACACCCCAAAUUUAUAGAAUAAACUCUAGAAUUUAAAGCUCCAAAUCAAGUUAUUUGAAGUUAAAAAACAUAAAAUUAAAGAUAAAUUAUUUAUUUUUUUGUUACUUUUUUAUUUAAUUUUAUGUUUAUUUUCAUAAAAUUUUAUAUUAAAAUAUUAAAGGUGCAAUUCAAAACUUCCAAAAAUAAAAUUUUGGAAGUUUCGAAUCUCACCUUUAACAUUUCAACAAAACGAAAUCAAACGAACUAGCUUUUUCUUAGUACCAACAAAAGUUGCCUAUAAUGAAUAUUCUUGGACCAACAAAAGUCACUUACAAUGAACAGUAUUUGUUGGCCCUAAGAACUAUUUAUUAUAAAAGACUCAUUAGUAGUCCAGCCUGUAGCAGUUGAAAAACCCCAACUAGAUGUCGACUGCGCUAACUUUUCCUAAGUAGCUUUUUUAUCCCAACCCUAAACAAAGUAGAAAAGCCAAGUGUAGUCGACAUCUAGUUGGAAUAAUGAAAGCUAGUGCAAGUGUUGGAAGUGGUGCAGAACUAAUAAUGGGAGCUGUGGCAGAGCAAUGAACUAAGACACUAAAGAGGCAGCAAAUAGAAUUAAAAGUUGAGCCCGAGCUGGGAAAAGAAGCUAAUAAAUUUGAAGCUAGAACUAAUCAUGAGAAAGUAGACAAGGAGCUAAAUUUGAAGCUACAGUAGAGUUAGUAGCUAAUAAGGAAACUGGCUAUGAAGAUGCAAAUGAGAAUGGGGUGCAACGAUUCAAGUUGGUUUGGAAGCUAAUUAUUAAGCCAUUUGUGUCUAUGCUGUGUUGUUAUAACAACUGUUAAUAUAUUUUGUCCGUAUUUUACAAUUUUGUUUUUACUCAAUUAAAGUAAGUGAUGCGAUAUAUAUAGAAAAUGCUAUGUAUGAGUCAUCAUUAUGAAUGAAAUACAUACUGUUUCUCUUUUCUACCACUCUCUUUUCCUUCUCUUAAUUCUAUUUCCUCUCUUUGUCUUCCUUCAUUCUUUUUAAACCAUAGCCAAUCUAUGAUAGAAAAUCACUAUCAGUAAAGGUAAAGUGCUAUAUAUAAAAGACAUACUUAAGUGCUAUCUAACCAUUUCAUUCUACACAAACGAAAAGACGUGCUUAAGCGCUACCUAACCAUUUCUUUCUACACAAACCCAAAUGGGCUAAUAGAGAGUACCUUCAUAAGAUUUCAAGAAAAAUUGCUACUAGGUGUUGAAUCGAGAAUUGCUUUACUUCUGGAAAUCAAAUAAAACCAGAAUUCUGGAAAAAAAUUUGCUUCUGGAAAUGCAUUUUAAGAUCAUUGCAUUAUUUUUCAAAAAUUCAUUUUCAUUACAUUGAAGAAGUCGUUCGAAAUGAAUUUUUAAUAACUUUUGUUCACUUCAGGGAAUUAAUUUUUGAUAAAGAACAUGCUUUUCUGGAGAUUAAUUUCUAAAACUUAUUGAGCUAUUUCAUAUAUAUAUGUCUACUUACAUUCACAUUCUAUUGAAAAUUCAUUUCUGGUAAAGCCUAUCCAAAAAAGAAAGUUGGGGUGUAAAAGACAAAAAGGUGAGUAUUUAAGUAAUUUUAUUAAAAGUUAAAUUUAUAAUUAAAUUUUUAGGUGUAUUUAAUAGUUUUUGGCGUAUAAAUAGAACCCAUAUUAUAUUAUGUCAAUCUUUCUUCAAUUCUAUCAUAAGUGUCAUAACGUCUAGAUCUAGAGAUCUAUCGCUAGACAUUGACUUAAGGAGUCGUCAUCAAUCUUUGUUAUCUAGGUACGAUUGACCAUCUAAGAAAUCUAUCCUGGAACACUUAAGUUUAAGGAUCCCUAAAAGAAUAGGUUCAGGUCUACUAACUAUAACAGGGUUCGGGAGUUCAGUUACGUGUGAGGAAGGUUAUAGCACCCUCACAACAUCCAUCGAAAGAUGGUACCAGCUUAAUUUUGUGUUAUCUAAUAAGCCUUAAAAAUUUACCAAGUAAUUAAUUAUUGAAAAUUAUUCUCAAUUGACUUUAAUACUUUUAGCAAAAAAUUGAAAAAAUUUUCUCAUCUCAAGAGUAUGCGAGAAAACUAUUGUUUCACUUGUAGAGGUUCCAUCAUCGGAUUAUUUAACAUUAAAGAAAAUUGAAGAAAAUUAAAAAGAAAAAAAUGAUUGCUUUUGUACAGGAAAAAUUGAUACUUUUAACUUUUUUCCAAAAUAUUUUUUAGAAACUUUAAUUUCAAGAAAAAUUGAUACUUUCAACUUUUCCUCAAAAAUUCACUUUUGAAAACUUAUUUUUAAGGAAAAUUGAUACUUUCAACUUUUUCCCAAAAAUAUUUUUUUAGAAAGCUUAUUUUCAAGGAAAAUUAAUACUUUUAACUUUUUCUUAAAAAUAUUUUUUUUUGAAAGCUUAUUUUCAAGGAAAAUUGAUACUUUCAACUUUUCCUUAAAAAUAUAUAUUUUUAAUUUUAUUUAAAGAAAUAAAAUAAAAAUAAAAUAAAAAUAAAGAAAAAUAAAAAUAAAAAUAAAAUAAAAAGUAUUAAACAAUUAUAAUCUAAUCAAAAAAUGAAAAAAAUAAAUAAAUAAUGAAAAAUGAAAAAAAAAAACCUAGGAAUGGCUUGGCUCGGUUUGAGGAAAAAAAGAUAGCUCGAAGACGCGCUCGGCUCGGUUUCGAAAACGGCUCGCACUCGGGUUGAAUGCGGGUCGAAAGUGGGUUGACGCUCCGUCGGGUCGCCUGAUUUCAAAACGCGCGGAUCUUUUGGGCACAGUAAUGCCAAAACGACAUCAUUUUUAGCGGGUAUAAAAGGCUAUUCCUUUUGUUUUUUUAGCAGACCGAUCCUUCCCUCUCUCCCUCUUCCCUUCGUUUUCUCUCCCUUCUCUCUAAACCACGAAGAACUCCAUUUGAAUCUCGUCGGAUUCUGAAAAUUUUUAUCGAAAUCUGAGUUUUUCGUCAGAAAGCUGAUUGGUUUCUGAAAAUAGUCGCCAAAAAUUGGGUAGCUGGCCGGAGAAUUCAAACUUGGCCGAAAAAGUCAUCGAAAAAUUCAACCAAAAUCUAGAUAUUUUUCAGAAAUUUCCAAAAAAAAAUACCAAAAAUUCAAAAAAAUUUUCACCGAGUCCUAGAGCUGUUCUAACGCACCAAAACCCUUUUUUAGCUUCUGUUUCUUUUCUGUUCACUCUCUCUUAGGCAGUGUUUACCCUUUUUCUGUGUGUUCUAUUUCUCUUCCAACACCUAUUUAUAAGGAUUGAUCAGAAGAGUUUCUGAUCAAUCCAUAUUCCCUUUUGGAUUGAGAUUCAAUCUUUGAAUCCAAUCUGGAUUCUGAUUGAAUCCCAAAUUCACGGUAAAACUAAAGUUUCUAUCAUAAUCCAACUCCAAUCAGGUAAGCAUAAAAAGAAAAGAAGAAAGGAAAAAAUAAAAUAAAAAAUAAAAAUAAAAAUAAGGAUAAUAUAUUAAUUAAUAGAUAAAUAAUAAUAUAUAAUAGAUAUAUAAACAGAUAAAAAAAUAAAAAUAUAUACUAAUAAAUAGUAAUAAUAAAUAAAUAAAUAAAUAAUAAAUAAAAUACAAAAUACAGAAUAAAAUAAAAUAAAAUAAAAUAAAACAAAUUGAAAUGGGCUUACCCAUUUGGACCAGGCCUAAUUGAUCCGGGCCUGGACCUAAUUGGGUGUCUACAGCUGCUCCUCUUUGCACAUUUUUUGUGAAACAGGAAUUGCGCAAAGACGUAGACACCCAUUUAAGGCUCCACUCGACCCUUUUUUUACUUUUUUUUGUUAAAAUUCUGAUCAAAACUCCUCUAAGCAGAGGUUAACGACUUUGGAAAACAUAAAUAAAGCCUCUCUAAUCAGAGGCUCAACGACUUUUGAAAAUAAAUAAACAAAGCUCCUCUAAUCAGAGGCUCAAUGACUUUUGGAAAUAAACGGCUCCUCUAAUUAGAGGCUCAACGACUUUGAAAAUAAAUAAAGCUCCUCUAAACAGAAGCUCAACGACUUUUGAAAAAUAAACAAAACUCCUCUAAACAGAGGCUUAACAACUUUUAAAAAUAAAAGGCUCCUUUAAUUAGAGGCUCAACGAUUUUUGGAAAGUAAAUUGCUCCUCUAAUCAGAGGCAUUACAACUUUGAAAAAUAGAUUACUCUUCUAAAUAGAGGCAUCACAACUUCAAAAAAUAAAUUGCUCCUUGACAAUCAUGUCUAAAGGAGUUGAAAAUCGUAUUUGAAGGAAUUUCAGGAGAUUAUGCCCAAAGGUCUUACAAAUCAGCCUUGAUACCGAGAGAUAUCCUAUUUCAAGGAUUAGAAACUUACCUGACAAGCUUUUUUUCAAAUUUGAAACUGUCUUCACAUCUGUCUUCUCUAUGUGAGAUUUUGGAAUACCCCUGCUUCUUGAGUAUAUACUAUGCCAUGUGUGUGAAAUUCAAAGCAUGCUAUGCAAAUGUUGGCUAAUUAAUUCCUAUUCAAUUGUGGUACUCAAGUUUCUCAAGCUAUUUUUUUGGGCAUCGAACCCUUUGAUUCUUCCAAAAACAAGUUGCGCUAUUCUUCCAAGAUCGAGCCAGUGUAACUCUAAACUAUCUCUUCUAUCUCUUUCCAAAUUUAGUGUCCUUAUCAAGAACUGAACAUCUCGAUUUUGCCUUUAUCACUCUUGACUUAUUCAAUGUAAUGUAAAAAUCUUUCAUGCCAUUAUUCAUUCAUCAAUCAUUAUUUCAAACUCAAAAAGUAAGAAUGCAUUUGCACAUUUCUUUCAUUAUAGGGUAUUAAAAGAAAAGAAUAAGAAUGGUUGAGAAACUGUCAACAGAAGAGGCACACAAAGAGUGAAAUAGAAUGUCUUUUAUUAGUAAAAUUUGACAAACUUUGACCAAGAAAAAAAUACAAAGAUAAGUAUGGGGAGUUUCAUGCCCAAAAAUGAAUAAUCGGACAAUCAUGAUCUUAAGGUUUUUUUUAAAAACCCAACCAUCUGAUGUAUUUAACAACUUAGAGCUCCUCCGAAUUUGCUAGUCUCUAUGCCAAUAGAUUUUCAAAUUUGAUGCUAUAUUCUCUUUAUCUAAGCUACCUUUUCAGGUUUUCAACUUAGAUAAACCCCCUAUGACUCAAACCGCCCUUUUAGGGUUUUCGCCUUGAUUCUUUCUUUUUCAUUCACUUUUUUUUCAUUUUUCCUUUUUUCAUUUUUUUAUUUUUUCAUUUUUUUCAAGUAUAGCAUUUCUUCACAACAUCAGAAUUUAUAGGAUGGGUAAAUCAUUUCCAUCCAUCUCAGUCAGUAUCAACGCUCUAUCUGAGAAAGCCCGUUUCAUCAUAUACUGCCUUUCCCAAUUCGGAGUCCAUUUUUUUCUAUUAUCGUGCUGGAUUGAGAGGAUUCUCUUCAAGACCAACUCUCCUUCUCGAAAACAACGAGGUCAAAUUUUUUUAUCAUGAGCCUUCAUCAUUCUUCUUUGAUAUAGCUGACCAUGGCACCGUGCAGUCGAUCUCUUUUUUUUUUUAUGAAAUUUAACUGUUCAUAGCGUUCUCGAAUCCAUUCAGCUUCUUCCAACUCAACUUCUUUUAGAACCCUCAAGGAUAGGAUCUUUACUUUCACUGGUAGUACAGCUUCUAUCCCAUAGACAAAAAAAAAAAGUUACCUCAAUAGAGGUGCGAACUAACGUACGAUAUGCAUGCAAUGUAAAUGGCAACUUCUCAUUUCAAUCUUUAUAAGUCUCAGUCAUCUUCUCAAGAAUUCUUUUUAUGUUCUUAUUGGCUACCUCAACUGCCUCAUUCAUUUUCGGAUGGUAUGGUACUGAGUUAUGAUGUUUGAUCUUGUAUUGAGCACAUAUUUCUUGCAUCAUCUUACUAUUGAGAUUCUUGACAUUGUCUAAAAUAAUUCUCUCUGAAAGUUUAUAUCUACAGAUGAUCUCUCUCUUUAUGAACUUGUAAACCAUAGAUCGUGUUACACUUACAUAUGAUGCUACCUCCACCCACUUUGUGAAGUAAUCUAUCAUCAUAAAAAUAAAUCUAUGCCCAUUAGAAACCUUUGGGGUGAUAAGACCAAUGACAUCCAUGCCUCACAUUGAGAACGACCAAGGUGGUGUCAUAACAUGUAAAGCAGAUGAUGGAGCAUGAAUCUUAUCAGCAUAUAUUUGGCAUUUAUGAUAUUUACGAGCAUAGUUAAUACAAUCACUCUCAAUUGUCAACUAGUAAUAUCCUGCUCUUAUGAUCUGUCUCGUCAUUAUAUGUCCACUAGUAUGUGCCCCACAUAUUCCAUCAUGCACUUCUUCAAUGAUUUUCUUUCUUUCAACCUUACUUACGCACCUUAGUAAUACCUGAUCUCGACUUCUUUUGUACAGAACAUCUUCAUCCAAGAAAAAAGCUCAUAAUCAAUCUUCGGAUGACCCUUUUAUCAUUUUUUGUUGCUUGAACUGGGUAUUGCUGAUCCUUAAUAUAUUGUAGGAUAUCAUAAUACCAGGGUUUCCCAUCUUUCUCCUCUUCUACAUUAGAAAAAUGAGUUGGCAUAUCUUUAACAUCUAGCUUGAUGGGCUGAAUGUCAAUAUUAUCAUUAAUUCGAAUCAUUGCAGUCAGAGUAGCCAAUGCAUCGACAAUCAGAUUCUCUUCUCGAGGUAAAUGGUCAAACUGGAUAUCUUUAAAUUAUUUUUAUCAACUCUAGAAUAUACUUAUGAUAUGGAAUGAGUUUUGAAUCUCUCGUCUCUCAUUCCUCUUUUAACUGAUAUAUAACUAAAGCUGAGUCUUUAAACACUUUUAAUGCUUGUACUCUUCUUUCUAUAGUAGCUUGUAAGCCCAUGACACAUGCCUCAUAUUUAGUAAUGUUAUUUGUGCAAUUAAAAUUUAACCUUGCUGUUACAAGGCAGUAUUGUUCUUUUGGAGAGAUCAGAAUUUGGCCCAAUUUCAUGUCCCAAGGCAUUGGCAGCUCCAUCAAAAUACAUUCUCCAACACUUUUCUUCCUGCUCCCCUUUCUCCAGUUAGGAAAUAGUCAUUAGGUCUUCAUCAGGGAAUUCUAACCUCAUUGGUUCAUAUUCUUCAGUAGCACGAUCUGCAAGGAACUCCGCUACAAUGCUCUCUUUUAUUGCCUUUUGGCUCACAUAUAUAAUAUCAUAUUCUGAGAGCAUUACUUGCCAUCUAGCAAUUCUUCCAAACAAAGAAGGCUUCUCGAAGAUAUAUUUAAUUGGAUCUAAUUUUGCUAUAAGCCAUGUGGUAUGAUAGAGCAUAUACUGUCUGAGUCUUUUGGCAGUCUAUGCUAAUGCACAACAUAUUUUCUCCAAUGAGGAAUACUUGGAUUCAUAUUCUGUGAACUUUUUACUUAGAUAAUAAAUAGCUCUCUCUUUUCGACUAGACUCGUCUUGCUGCCCCAACACACAUCUCAUUAAAUUUUCACACACUGUCAAGUAUAAAAUUAAAGGUUUCCCUGAAACAGGUGGCACCAACACUGGAAGGUUUGACAAAUAAUGCUUAAUUUUAUCAAAAGCCACUUGACAUUCCUCAUUCCAUUUUUCAGGAUUAUUCUUACGGAGAAGCUUAAAUAUAGGAUCACAUUUAUAGGUAAGCUGAAAGAUAAAUCGAGAAAUGUAAUUCAAUCUUCUCAGAAAACCUCGAAUUUCUUUUGGUGUACUCGGAGGUGACUAAUUUUGAAUGACCCAUAUCUUGUUUGGAUCGACUUCAAUUCCUCUUUCACUGAUCACAAAACCUAGUAAUUUCUCUGACUUUACCCCAAAGGUGCAUUUGGCUGGGUUUAACUUGAGCUGAAACCUUCAUAAUCUCUCAAAUAACUUUCUGAGGCUGGUGACAUGAUCUUCAUCCUCACAAGAUUUUGUAAUCAUAUCGUCUACAUACACCUCGAUCUCUUUAUGCAUCAUAUCAUAAAAGAGUGUUACUAUGACCCUUUGAUAUGUUGCCCCAGUAUUCUUUAACCCAAAAGGCAUGACCUUGUAACAAAAAGUUCCUCAUAUAGUCAUGAAAGUAGUCUUUUUCAUAUCAUCUGUAGCUAUUUUUAUCUGAUUAUACCCUGAGAAACCAUCCAUAAAAGAGAAAAUUGAAUGCCUAGCCAUGUUAUCUACCAGUAUGUCAAUAUGAGGCAAAAAAAAGUUAUCUUUUAGACUAACCUUAUUCAAGUCACGAUAGUCUACACAUAUUUGUACCUUUUCAUCUUUCUUAGAAAUUGGUACUAUAUUGGCUACCCACUCUGGAUACUUAGCCACUUAUAGAAAACUUGCAUCAAACUAUUUCUUCAUUUCUUUUUUGAUCUUUAGUAGCAUUUCAGGCUUCAUUCACCUUAGUUUCUACUGAACCGACUUACAUUUUGGCUUUAGGGGCAAUCUGUGUUCUACUAUCUUCAUGUUCAGUUCUGGCAUAUCUUGGUAAGAUCAAGCAAAUACAUCUACAAAUUUUUAAAGUAGAUCUGCCAAACAUUGUCUAUCCCCUGAUGAAAGUGAAGUGUCAAUUCUGACAUCUUUCUUAUUCUCUUCAUCUCUCAGAUUCACUAAGUCAACUAUCUCCUGAUGAGGCUUAAUUGGCUUAUUUUCUUGUUCAAUCAAUCUCAUUAGGUCUGGAGGCAUAACAUAUUCCUCAGAAUUCUUUUCAUUGUCAAGUUCAUCAGUGUUAAUUGAAUUCUCAAAACUAACCUCUUGAUUGUUAUCAUAAUUAUCUUCAUGUUCAUUUAAAGACCUAAAAUUGAAUGAAAUAGGAUAUGUUGCAAGAUGUGUUUGGAAAAAUGGCAAUAAUGAAGACACAAGAAGAAAUGAAUGAAAAUGCAUCCUUCUUAAUUUUUAUUAAAAUAAUAAAAGAUAAAUGGCCCAAACAAGAAAGAUCACCCCAAUGCCUUGGGCAAUAGCUAUUGGGAUGUUACAAUUAUAUUGUAUUAGUUUCAAAAGUCACAGGCAUUUCAAUGGCACUCCAAUUGUUCAACUCAUAAUUUGACAAACAAAGGCGGACCCACCCCUCUUGAUUAAGCCUCACUUCAUCUUCAAUAGCAUUAAUGGUUAACUGGGCAAAAGCCUUUUCCACGUUUUUUCUUAUAUCUGGGUACAUGAAUCUUUCAGGUCUGAAAGUCUUGUACAGGUGUGGGAUAACCAUUAGUCUUACUAUUUUUCCUUCUGACCUUCUCUUGAUCUCCCAUUCUGCUACCUCAUAGCCUAAGCCUAACCUUUCACUAUUGUCUAUCAUUGUCAAGGGUUUUUUUAUUCCCUGUAAGUUUUUACCCAGCCCUAAUCCUGGAUACCAGCCCUUAUUGAUGACUUGGCUCAUCACUAUCCUUAAAAAAGGUUAAUUUUUACCUACAGAAUUAACUAGUUCAAAAGAUCGAUAUGAGCAUUCUACAGCUUCUUCGACAGCCUUUACAUACGGAGCAUUCAACGGUUGGGUCACUAGCAUAUCUUCUUCUCUAACUACCACUACUAAUUGACCUUCUACAUUAAACUUGAUCUUUUGGUGCAACGUAGAGGGUACAGCUCUUGCCAUGUAAAUCCAUGGCCUUUCCAAUAGACAAUUGUAGGAUGGAGAGAUAUUCAUCACUUGAAACUUCACAUUAAAAGUACAUGGCCCAAUUUGCAAGGGCAUCUUGAUAUCCCCCAGGACUUUUUUUUUAGUCUCAUCAAAAGCUCUCACGAUCAUCUGACUAUCUUUCAUAUGAGAGUAGUCAAUGGGUAGCCUCGCCAAAGUUGACAUAGGCAUGACAUUAAUAGCAGAGCCAUUAUCAAUAAAGACUUUGGCUAUGAUAUGGCUCUUGCACUUGAUCGUGAUAUGCAAAGCCUUGGCAUUUCUCUUUUCCUCCAAGGGAACUCAUCAUCGCAGAAUGAAAUAUGAUUCGAAAUGACUAGAUUUCUAGCCAGGUGGUUCACAUAUUUAACAAAUACAUUAUGUGCCACAUAUGCCUGGUUCAAUACUUUUAGUAGGGCAUUUUGAUGUGGCUCUGAGUUUAACAGCAGUGAUAGUAAUGAGAUUCGAGCUGGCAUUUUAUUCAAUUGUUCAACAACUGAACACUCACUAUGUUUUACUAGCUUCAGGAAUUCAUAAAUUAUUUUUCUGACACCGACUUCGGAUGAUCUUUUUCAGGUUCUACUUCAGGGUUAUUCCGUCGUUCUCUUUCUUUGGCCUUUUUUCUUCGAGCCUUUUUCAACAUUUCUAGAGUGUAGCACCUUUCACUUCAGGUAAUGCCUCCUACACCAGUUAUAUUGGAAGAGUCAACUUUAGAAACAUCCCUUUUUUGCCCCUAAACUACUGUAUCAUAGCCAUAUCUCUAAGGUACAGCUUUAUCAUUCUUGUAUGGGAAAAGAGUCAGAACUUUAAAAGUUAUCGGCCUGGGAAUGAGUUUGUCUAUGAUUGACUUUGGCUUGUUCCCAUAAUAAAUUAUUACUAGCUUUGAAAACAGCUUUGCAGGCUUAUCAGUCAUGGACACCUCAAUACUUUCUAAGUCUUCUCCUAUUUUAUAGACCUCCAUCUGGUAUGAAUUUAAGAGUUUUUUCAUCUCUUGGUGAAACUGCUCACAAGUUUCAAUAGAGUGACCCAUUGCUCCACUAUGAUAUUUACAACAAGUACCAACCAAAUAUACUCCAUGAUAGCUGUGUGGACCCACCAGUUGUAUCAUGUCAACUUUUCAUAGAACAUCAAACAGUUGGCUGAGAGGUGUCUUAAUAUCUGCCACUUUUUUCUUCAAAUGGCACUCAUGUUCUUCACUUAGAGCAUUCACAUUAUGAUUAGGUAAGGGAUUGCCACUAACAUUCGAUGCAGUCACCCCUCCUGUAUCAAAGUUAAUCAUUCUAAAUUGCUAUUUAUUAAAGCUUAUAGCCUGAGCUUCAGUCUUUUUUUUUUUCAAGACUCUUUUGUUGGAUGCUUCACCUUCUUUCAACUUAUCAUUUUUGAUGGCACUCUGAUAAUUUCUCCUAAAAUUACCAUAUCAGUAAAAUUUUUGGUUGCAUUCCCUAUCAUCUUUUCAUAAUAGAGAGGUUUCAAAGUGUUAACAAACAACACUGUAGUCUCUUUCUUACUCAGAAGAGGUUGUACCUGAGAAGCUACAUCCCUCAAUCUCUGGGUGUAUUCUUUAAAAGACUCGUUUGCCUUUUUCUCCAGGUUCUGUAAAGAUAAAUGAUCAAGAACCAAAUCGAUAAUAUAUUGAUAUUGACUAAUGAAGUCAUGAGUCAUAUCACUCCAAGAGUGAAUGCGGGUUCUAUCCAGCUGAACAUACCACCUGGUAGCAGAGCCUGUAAGGCUAUCUUAAAAAACAUGUAUCAAGAGUUUUUCAUCAUGAGCAUGGGCUGUCAUUUUUCGGUAAUACAUGGUGAUGUGAGUUUUGAGGCAUUUCGUACCAUCAUAUUUCUCAAAUUUUGGUACUUUGAACUUUUGUGGAAUGACUACAUCCGAGACUAAGCACAGCCCAGCAGCAUCAACAGAACCAUAAAAUCCAAUCCCUUCCACAGUUCGUAACCUUUGUUCUAGCAUACUAAUCUUUGCAUCUUCCUGAAACUUCGUUGCUUUUGCUUUCUCCUUAUUUUUCAAGUCAUCUAAAUCAAGAACUGGUUUUACCACCUUUUCAGUAAAGACAUGAUUUACAUAGCUAUGGUAAUGCCCUGGAUUGAAGGCUGAUGGCAUUCCAGGAUAUGUAAGAUAUGUGAAGUGUUGUGGUGGAACCUCUUAUGUAGACUGGGCUUGAAGUGGACCAAAACCUGGAGGAUACAAAAGGUCAGCCACUUCUUGUAAUGGGAAAAGUUGUUGGCUUGUAUUUUCUUCUACUUAUUUUCCUUUGUUCAGCUUAUUAAGUGCAUCUAAAAUCUUGCUCAACUCAUUUUAAAUUUUUUCCUGUGCUUUUUCUAGCUUUUCAAAUAUGUGAGAGUUUUUCUGCUCCAUUUGUCUGGUUUUGGCUCUUGUGUUAUAUUGAUGAACAAGGUUCUCGCUAGAUAGAGCUAUCCUUGAACCUUGAGUACCAUAUCUUAAAAUUAGUAAAUUUGUAUGACUAUCUCAUGGUUACUUUGUUAAGUGUAAUGAAUGAGAAUGCAAUGAAUGAAAAAUACAUGUAUGCAAAGAACAUUUGCCUUAAAGACGAUAUUUAAUUGAAAGAUUUCAUUUAUUCCAAAAAACUUUUAUUUACAUUGAGUUUAUCAUCCUAGAAUUAUAAUCAUAACACUUUUUGAUCUGUUCAUACUGGGCUUUGGCUUCUUUGAUGAAGUUCAACAGACACUGUCUAUGUUCUCCUACUAGGGUCAUCACUUGUUUCAAUGCCUUUGUUUCUUCCACCAUCUCUCUUGCCUUGCAUACCUUUUUACAAAUUUGGGUCGUUAGGUGCUCAAUAUAUUUCUGUCUUUUUAAGUUCUUUCUUUUACCACACUAGACUUGGUAUGAUAACUCUCUAUGCUCCCUAACCAAUGCAGCAAUGUGGUCUUUUUAUUCAUUCAACUUUUGUCUUAGCCUGCUCAGAUAGUUGUUUAGCAUGUUAUUCUCUGUCUGUACUUGGGUACUUUUUUUUUUCUAAUUUAACAUAUUCUUGCUUUAAUCUUACAUUCUCUUCAGUCAGCACAACAAUGGUUAUCUCUUUGGCCCUUUCUCUCACACAUAAUCUUUUUUGCUCUUAGUGUAGCUCUGCUAAGUCAUCAACAGUUGUAUCACGUUCUCUACAAUUUUGUGAACUCUAGCUUCAUGGCUUUCAGCUCUAUCUUUUCACUGGUUUUUUUUUUUCUUGAAGCUUCUGGAUUUCUUGCUUUAACUUACCCUUUUCAGACUCAAAUUCUUUUGUUGCAAGCUCUAAUUCUGAUGGUGUCUCUUCAAGUUUUUCUCUUGUUGGUGGUUGAAAGCUUUUAUAAGUGAAUACCAUUUCUUAUCUUCGUUUUGCUCUCCAAACCAAAUACCAUGGAGUGACUUUAUCAGUAAAUGGUCCAGGACCCACUCUUCAGGGAUUUUUCUAUACUUUAAUCAUCUCAUUCAUCCUCUGAAAUGCUUUUGGCUCACUGUAAGAGAAAUCUAACUGAUGAAGCCCAUGCGUCAUAGGAAUGAACUGUUCUGCCCCAAACUGCUUUCUCACUAGGAGUGGUGCAUAAUUUGUCGCUCCCUAUAAACCCAGAAGUGGAACCACGGUGUUAUCCUCACAUUGAUACAACAUAGGCUCACGAAUCAUCCAUGGGGCCAACCAUCUUACUUCAGCACUGGUCAAUUUUUGUAGGAAAGUUAUCCAUUCCUUUUUAGACUUUCGUUCUGACCACCCACUUUCACAGAAUUCCUUAAUCAGAGCUCGAUUGUCGAUAUAAAGCUUUGAGAAAGCACUUUUUCCCCAUUCGAAAUGGCUUUUCAUCCAUAAGUAUAAUAACUGCAUACAACCUAUAAAGCGCCAUCCAUUUCGAUGACAAUAUCUCAAAGAUCUAAUAGUCUCCGCUAAUAUUACCGUUGACAGGUUACAGCCAUUGAUCACACUCUUGAAGAAGUCAACCAUUGCUAUCUCAAUAAAAACCAAAACCUUUGGGAAGAUCACCAUUCUGUAUAUGGCUAAGGCAAAUACAUCUAACCCCCGUUCUUUGUUGGUAUGUUGCACUAGAAACUCAUGAAAAAACUUUCAAGGUAGGCAAACCUAUUCUUGUUUCUUCAUUGUAUGAGAAUCCACAACUUCUUUGUCUAUCCCCAUGAGUUGAGCCAAACCCUUACGAAAUCUUAACUUGUGUUUUUUGACAUAUAUCUUAUCAGGAGCCUUGAGGUGCAAACCUAAUAAAAUCGAAUAUUUUUCGAUGGUUGGUGUCAUAUCAACUUCAUUAAAGAUGAAACACUUGUAUGCAAGAUCUUAGAAUUAUGCUGCAGCUCUGAUUAGUUGAUCGUUAACAACUACUGCUAGAAGGUGUGCUAUAUGCCCAUGUCUCUGGCAAAACUGCUCUUAUCUUGACAAACUAAUCUUCUUCCAUAUGUCAACCAAAUCCUCUAGAUUAUUUUUUUUGAGGAGGAUAGAUGUUUCUCGAGACAAGAUAGAAUCAUAUAUGAUUGGUAAACAAUCCCCCAUUUUUAAUUGAAUCUUUUCUAACUGGAUUCUUACUUCGUUGGGUGCCUCACAAGGUGCUAAUACGGAUGAAGAACAAACUAGUCGUUCUGUGGAGUCCAUGAAAAAUUUUUGUUGAAGAUCGUCUCUUCAAGCAAAUGUUCUUUAUGCAACUUUAUGACAUGAGCAUGAACCAAUGCAAAAGAAUAAGAGAAAAGGUUAGUAUGCCCAAAAAAAAAGAAAUAAAUAAAUAACUAAGUAAAUUAAAACAUCACACAGAAUAAGAGGGAUGAAUCCUAUGCUUUUGGUCAAUUCUAAAAGGGAAGAGUGAUGGCUCUAUCUAUAGGUUAGGCACUCUUAAGGUUCACUAUAUGUGGUUGAAGGUUAAAGUCUAAAAGUUUCCAAAUUGCUCCUUACAUCAUUGUCCAUCAUAGACUAGUAAGGCACCCUAAUCCUCACCCAUAUCCUCACCCAUUACAGGUUACAAGCGAAAAAGGUUCAAUUUGAGUGGGAGUAUUUUGCUGGCCACUGCGGAGAAAUUAAACCUCACGAAAGCAAUAGGUACUUUACUCCCUCCUAGAGGGACGAAGCUCGGGUUAUAGAGCUUAUGUUAUGCAUAUGCAUAUGAAUGACAUAAUUAAUAAAGUAAAUAAACAUGAAUGAAUAAAAGAAUCUAUACAAAAAGUUUAAUUUUAUUCGACUUUUGGAUAACACAAAUUUAUUUGAUGGCCUAACUCUCGGACAUCCCUAGUGGAGUCGCCAAGCUGUUAUAACGUCUAGAUUUGGGAAUCUAUCGCUAGACAUUGACUUAAGGAGUCGCUACCAAUCUUUUUUAUCUAGGUGUGAUUGGCCACCUAAGGAAUCUAUCCUUUCAGGGAACACCUAAGUUUAAGGGUCCCUAAAAGAAUAGGUUCAGGUCUACUAACCAGAACAGGGUUCGAGAGUUCGAUUACGUGUGAGGAAGGUUAUAGCACCCUUACAACGCCCAUCGAAAGAUGGUACCAGCUUAAUUUUAUGUUAUCCAAUAAGCCUUAAAAAUUUACCAAGUAAUUAAUUAUUAAAAAUUAUUCUCAAUUGACUCUAAUACUUUUAGCAGAAAAUUAUUGUUUCACUUGCAAAGGCUCCAUCGUCGGAUUAUUUAACAUUAAAGAAAAUUCAAGAAAAUAAAAAGGAAAAAAAUGAUUGCUUUUGUACAGGGAAAAUUGAUACUUUCAACUUUUUCCCAAAAUAUUUUUUAGAAACUUUAAUUUCGAGAAAAAUUGAUAAUUUCAACUUUUCCUCAAAAAUCCACUUUUGAAAACUAUUUUUAAGGAAAAUUGAUAAUUUCAACUUUUCCCCAAAAAGGAUUUUUGAAAACUUAUUUUUAAGAAAAAUUGAUACUUUCAACUUUUUCUCAAAAAAGAUUUUUGAAAACUCAUUUUUAAGAAAAAUUGAUACUUUUAACUUUUCUUCAAAAAUAUUUUUUUUAGAAAACUUAUUUUCAAGGAAAAUUGAUACUUUCAACUUUUUCUCAAAAAUAUUUUUUUUGGAAGCUUAUUUUCAAGGAAAAUUGAUACUUUCAACUUUUCCUUAAAAAUAUUUUUUUUGAAUUUUAUUUAAAGAAAUAAAAAAAUAAAAAUAAAAUAAAGAAAAAUAAAAUAAAAAGUAUUAAAUAAUUCUAAUCUAAUAAAAAAAAAUAAAUAAUAAUAAAUAAAUAAAUAAAUAAUGAAAAAAAAACCUGAGAACGGCUCGACUUCGAAAACGGCUCGCACUCGAGUUGAACGCGGGUCGAAAGCGGGUUGACGCUCAGAUCGGGUCGCUCGAUUUCAAAACGCGCGGAUCCUUUGGGUAUAGUAACGCCAAAACGACGUCGUUUUCAAUGGGUAUAAAAGGCUAUUCCUUCUAUUUUUUCAGUAGACUAAUCAUUCCCUUUCUCUUUCUUCCCUUCCUUUCCUCUCCCUUCUCUUUAAACCACGAAGAACUUCGGUUGAAUCUCAUCGGAUUCUGAAAAUUUUCAUCGAAAUUUGAGUUUUUCGUCGGAAAGCUGAUCGGUUUCUGAAAAUAGUCAUAAAAAAUUAGGUAGUUGGUCGGAGAAUUGAAACUUGGCCGAAAAAGUCGUCGAAAAAUUCAAACUUCGCUUAAAAAUUCAACCGAAAUUUGGAAAUUUUCCAAAAAUUUCAAAAAAAAAUCGUAAAAAAUUUUAAAAAAUUCUCACCGAUUCUUAGAGCUGUUCUAACACAUCAAAACCCUUUUUUAGCUUCUGUUUCUUCUCUGUUCACUCUCUCUCAACCAGUGUCUGCCUUUUUUCUAUGUGUUCUAUUUCUGUUCUUCCAGCACCUAUUUAUAGGGAUUGAUCAGAAGUCUAUUCCCUUUUGGAUUGGGAUUCAAUCUUUGAAUUCAAUCUGGAUUCUGAUUAAAUCCCAAAUUCAUGGUAAAACUAAAGUUUCUAUCCUAAUCCAACUCCAAUCGGGUAAGCAUAAAAAGGAAAGAAGAAAAGAAAAAAUAAAAAUAAAAAAUAAAGAUAAUAUAUUAAUUAAUAGAUAAAUAAUAAUAUAUAAUAGAUAUAUAAACAAAUAAAAAAAUAUAUAUGUACUAAUAAAUAGUAAUAAUAAAUAAAUAAAAUAUAAAAAUACAAAAUACAGAAUAAAUAAAAAAAUAAAAUAAAAUAAAACAAAUUGAAAUGGGCUUACCCAUUUAGACCAGGCCCAAUUGAUCCGGGCUUGGACUCAAUUGGGUGUCUACAAUAAGAACCAGUUGAAACCAUCAAAAUCACCAUUAAAUUAAAUAAAAGCUCAAAUAAAAAUACCCAAUUAGUUUUUUUUUUAUAAAAGCCCAAUAAAUAUUAAAUCAAUUUUUAUGAAAAAGUGAAAGAUAAUUUAUGUAAUUUUUUUGCUUUCAAUUUUAUAAUAUUUAAUAAAUUUAAGCUCAAUAUUUAUUAAAUUUGUUUUAAUAUGAAUAUUACUUAAAAAAAUAGAAAAUAAAAGAAAAAAACAAUUAUUUUAGAAAAUUUUCUAAAUUCAUUUUACUAAAACUAUUAAGUUUUUUUUCUUUAAUACUCCUUGUGUGUAAAUUUUUCUUUAAAUUCUAUUAAAAUAUUAAAAAUACUUUAAAAAUAUUUUCAAUAUUUAAAACAAAAAAAAAAAACAAAAUUGUCAUGAAAAUGAAAUUAAAUAUAGAAAUAAAAAGAUUGUUAUAUCAAAAUCUUAAAAAAAGAUUAAUACAUAAUUAAUUGAUACAAUAAUUCUUUUAAUAUGCAUCAUAGGCGUGUAAUACUUUAUUGGGUAACUAAGUUUUUGAAUUUUAAAUCUUUAUUUCAAAAUGUUAAACAUCUAAUUUAAAAUCAAUUAAUAGUAAGUGGAUAGGCCCAACCAGAAUAUAAGACUAAUAAAUUAGAUAUUUAUUAGAUGUGUGAUAAUUUCAUUUUAACAGGCUCCAUUACAUGUAGGCGAAAAUAGAAGAAACCUAUCACAUAAUAGAUUUGGAAAGAGUAACAGAAGAAAAUCCUAAUUCUGAUACCAUAACAAAGAAGAAAAUAAUGAAAACUUUUAUUAUAGUGACUUGUAUUUUACAAUGAGGCUCAAAACCUAUUUAAAAAAAGGUAAAAUGUUACAAAAUAAUAAAUACAAUAAAUAGAAAUAAUGACUAAAUCAAUUUCCAUAAUUAGCUAAAUCAAUAUCUAAUAUUUUCUUAAUCAAUAUCAAAUCAGCUAAAUAAAUAUUAAAUUAAUCUAAAAUAUUAUUGAAAUAUUACUAGAAUAUUACUAUAAUAUCAUUGACACCCUCUCGGUAAACUCAAGAUGGUAUUGUAAAGGCCAACUUGAGUUUGGAAACUUGGAUAAUAAAUUAACCAGUGGAUGUGUUUUUGUGAAAAUAUCUGCUUGUUGAUUAGCAUUGGUAACAAGAACAAGUUGGAGAGUUUGAGCGAGCAUAUGGUAAUGAAUAAAGUGGCAAUCAAUUUCAUUAUAUUUAGCAUGCUUAUGAAAAACAUCAUUGUAAGCUAUUUGAAUAAUAAUUUAUUAUCGCAAAAUACAAGAAUAUUAGAGUGAUGAGAAACAUUUAUAUCCUAAAAUAGCCAUCAUAAUCAUAGAAGUUCUGAUAUGGCAUCUGUAAGUGCUCGGUACUCAACUUCAGUGUUAGAACGAGGCACCAUAGUUUGUUUCUUAUUUCGUCAAGAAAUAAGAGAAGAACCAAGAAAGAAACAAUAGCCUGUGGUAGAACAUUGGUCAAUAGGAUCUCUUGCCCAAUCAGCAUCACAAUAAUAAUACAAUUCCAAAUAGGAACUAGAGGAAAAAUAUAAACCACGGAACAUAGUAUUCUUGACAUAUCAUAGGUUUUGGGGGAUAGUAGCAAUAUGAGUAGAUUGAAUAGUUGACAUAAAUUGACUAACCAAAUGAAUAGCAUAGGCAAUGUUUGGAUAAGUAACUGUUAAGUAUACAAUACUACCCACUAGAGUUUGAUACAAAGAAAAGUCUUAAAGUGGUUUACCAUCAGAAGGAGAAAACUUCAAAUUUUGUUCAAGUGGUGAUGAUGCAAUCUUGCUAUCAAUUAAACCUGCUCGAGCAAUAAGAUCAGAAGCAUACUUUGUUGGAGUCAAAUGUAAGCCAGUAGAAUCACUAGUGAUUUCAAAGACCCAAAAAAUAACUUAAAGGACCAAGAUUUUUCAUUUCAAACUUAGAAUGAAGAAAAGUUUUCAAAUCUUGAAUGUUAUUUGCAUCAUUACCCGUAAUGAUCAUAUCAUCCACUAAAGUAAGAAAAGAGUAAUACCCUUUUCAAUAGUUUAAGUAAAAAGAACAAAAUCAUAAUUGCUAAAUGUAAAACCAAGUUCUGUAAUAAUGAUACUAAACUUCGAGAAUCAAGCUUUGAAGGCUUACUUAAGACCAUAUAAAGUGCAUCAAAGAUGACAUACCAUGUUAGAAGGUAUAAAUGAACCAGGAGGUGGCUUCAUAUAAAUUGCCUCAGCAAGAUCACCAUCUAAGAAGGCAUUUUUAACAUCCAUUUAAUAGGUUGGCCACUUUCUAGCUACAGCAAUAGCUAAUAACGAAUGAAUAGAUGUGAGACAUGCAACUGGAGUAAAAGUCUCCUCAUAGUCAAUGCUAUAUUCUUGUCUAAAUCCUUGAGCAAUAAGACAAGCUUUGUAACAUUUCACUAACUCAUUAGAUUGAGUCUUGAUCUUAUAGGCCCAUUUACAAUCAAUCACUGACUUACUAGAAGGUCAUUCAACAAUAUCUUAAGUAUAUUUUCUUAAAAGUUUAAAGCUUUUUUGUCAUUGCUUACUACCAUAUAGAAUUAGAGAUAGCUUCAUGAAAAUUGUGAGGUUUAUGUAACAUAGCUAAAGUAUAAUAAUAAUGAAAAUCACAAAGUUGAGUGUUGGGUUCCCUUAUCCAGGUGGAAUAAUGAAAUAGAGGCAGUAUGAAUUGUGAAAGAACAACUGUAUCAACAAGAGCCUUAGUUAGAUCUGACAUAGUAGGAGUGAAAGAAGAAAUAUUACUGUUUGAGUCAAAAAUACCUAUAAUAAUCUCUUUAUUUAAAGAAAAACCAAAAGAUGAAUUUGUAAAAAUACAUGGAAAAAAAACAUGGUGAAUGUAAUGCGGACACACUAGUAAACUUUUUAUUUUCUAAAAAAAAUAACAUAUCUUGAGAUGCGAAAACAUUUAGACAUAAUAGCAAUACCCCUUGUGUUUUAUAUCAUAACCCAAUAAACAACACAAUCUAGCUCUAAGUUUAAGUUUAGUCCUUUCAUGAGUCAGAAGUAGAACAAAGCAAACACAUCCAAAAACUUUGAGAGAAUGGUAAUUAGGUACCUUGUAAUAUAUACAUUUAUAUGGAGAUUAUGUGCCUAGUACUAGUGUAGGAACACAAUUAAUAAUGUAAAUAGUAAUAAGAGCAGCUUCAUCCCAAAAAUGUUCAAGAAGAGAAGAGAAAAUGAGAAGGGCACGAAUUUUAUCAAGUAUAUGAUGAUGUUUUCUUUCAACUCGACCAUUUUGUUGUGAAGUUUACCUAUGGGAAAAAGUUUUAUCAUCUUUUAAUAAGUUACGAAACUCAAUUUUUGUAUAUUCAGUAGCAUUGUCUAACCUGAAGAUUUUUAUUUUUUUUUUAAAUUAAGUUGGUAUCAUGUUAUUGAAUUCACAAAAAAAUUGAUAAAAGUUCAAUUUUUUGUUUGAAUAAAUAUAUCUAAGUAUAACGAGAGAAAUUGUCAAAAAAUAUAAUAAAGUAAUCAUCAAAAAACAAUAAAAAAUAUUAUGAGAAACAUUACCUAAGACACCAGUGGAAGCAAGUGACUUUAUUCAAGAAAUUGAUGCAUGUCCUAGCCUAGAAUGCCAUAAAUCUAAAGAAACUAAAGAGUUGGUUGUUUGAGAUGUUGUAGUAUUAAUCGAAUUUUCAAAGUUUCAAGCUUAAACAGUGUUUCAAUCUUAUGCCAUGUCCCAACUUUCUGAUCUGUUUAAGGAUCUUGUACAAUAUAGCCAUAUUGUUGUGAAAAAUACAAGUCAAGACCAAGGUCACAAAGUUGGCCACCAAAAAGCAAAUAUAAGGCAAGAUUAGAAAAAAAGUAAGUGCUAGAUAUAUAUGGUUUUGAGGUUUCAAUAAUAUCAAUAUGGCUAGCUUUUAAGAUAGAUCCAUUUACUGUUUUAAUGAUUGAACCAUUAGGUACAAGUAUCUUGCUUUUAAAUAAAGAAUGAUCACUAGUCAUAUGAUUUUUAUAAAUAGUAUCAAACAACCAAAUAUUACUUGAUGUGGCAGCAGACAUGGUAGGAACAUGAGAUCGAGAUAAUACUUGAUUGAAUAAAGUUUAAAGAUCAGUGAUGGAAAUUGUAAUAAUUUCAGAAGAACACAUAAAAGUAUUUGGUUCAGUAGUUGUUGCCACAGCAAUCUUGUCAGUGUGAGGAUUAUGAAUUUGCCUAUCGUUAUGAUAAUAUUUAGCUCUACAUUUCGGAACAAAAUGAUCAGUCCUCCCAUUUCGUGAACAAGAUUUGUGGAAAAUAAAGCUAGUAUUUUUCUACGGAGUAGUAGCAACAAUAGUAUUAGCACUAUGAGUUCGACUUAUACCCAAUCAAAUUUCCUAAGAUAUCAAUUCCAUAAGGGCAUUAUUCAUAGUCGGUAAAGGAUGUUGGUGUAAAAGUGAAAACUUGAUAUUCUCAAAUUAAUCUUAAAGUGCCAUUAGAAAUUGAAUAAGAUGAAUUUGAUUUCGAUAAGUAAUUAAAUUACCAACAUCACUUUCAUCCUUGAGUUUCAACUCAAAAUUCUCAAGCAUGUCCCAUAAAUGUUGCAUUUUAGAAUAAAAAUAAUCAAUCGACUGACAUGAUUCUUGACAAAAGUGAGAUAAAGUGGUCAAAAUAUAAUAUUGAUGAGUAAGGAUAAUAGAACUGUAUCAUGUGGCAAGAAAAUCCCAAGCAUCUUUAGUAAGUUCAAAUUACCCAAAAUGUACAUUGAUAGAAGAAACAAUGGUGUCAGUGAACCAUGUAAGAAUUUGAAAAAUCUUACUUUUCCAUUCCUUUAGUCGAUCUGUAAAUUUAUCAUUGCUUUGACUUCUUUCUUUUCUGGUGUUUUGCAUCUUUCGAUAACAAUAAGUCAUAAUUUCAUCUCUUUUAGAUAAUUAUGCAUAGCUGUAGCCCACCGAUUGCAGUUAUUUCCAUCAAUGGUAAUUGAAAUUGGUUGUACAUUUUGUCGUUGAAUACUUGCCAUUAAGCUUUUGGUUGAAAAAAAUGAAAUGAAGAUGUGGGAAGUUAUGAGUCUUGAUAUAAAAGAUGAAUUUUGAAUAUGAGAAAAGAAACAAAAAAUUUGAAGCAAGGAAGCAAAAAAAAUGAAGUUAGGAACGAAAAUCAACCAAGAAUCAAAAUAAACAAAUAUUGGUAAUUCCAAAGUAAUUCACUUUUGGAAUGAAUCAUGAAAUUGUUUUGAUACCAUAUUAAACAUCCAACUUAAAAUUAAUUGGCUAUAAGUAUAGAGGUCGAAUUUGACUAUAAGAUUAUAAAAAAUUAUAUAUUUAUUAGAUAUGAAAUAAUAUUAUUUUAAUACGAAAACUAAAAUUUUUUCCUCUAAAUAAACCUAAAUUAAGUAUAAAAUUUUAUUAAAAAAGAUAAAUUUAUUUAUGUGACCAAUCAAAGUGAAACAACAAAAAAUUUUAUUCCCGCACAAAACAGUUUGCGGACAACACUCUAGUUGAUCAUGAAAAAAAUAAGCAUAAUGUAUAGAAAUUUAAAUUUUUUUAACUAUCAGAACCAAAGAUCGUACAUUGAUUAUAAAUUAAACAAUCAUACUAUUAUACAAUCAUACUAACAAUUGGCAAAAUUAGGAAAUCAUUUUUAUAACAAAUAUUCAUACUCUAGUUCAAGUUUACUUAAAUUUCAGCAAAUUGAUUACUUACUUCAUAAAAGUAUAAUCGUAUGUUAGUUUUAAUAGCUUUAUUAAUAUAGUAUCUUAAUAAAUCAUUGACAAGGAACAAUUUAUGAAUAAUAUUUUAAUGCAAUAGUAAUCUCAUAGUUAUAAUUUAUUAUAAUUUCCAUACAAAUUAUAUUUAUUCCAUGAAUUUUAUAUGAGAAAUAAUUAAUAUAAAAUAUUUAUACAAAUUUAUUAAUAAAAAAAUGUCAUAAUUAAUAAAAAUAAUGCAUAUGUAUCUUAUAGCCAAUUCAAUUGUCUAGACGUCUGGGACAGGGAUUACAAAGUCUGCUGCGCCCACUCUGCAGGCAAUACUAAAAUUUUAAGCUUCAGAAAUCUUCUAGUAUUUAAAAUUAUUGGAGUUGACGAUUAAAUUUCAGGUUCCGAAUUUAAAAUUAUGGGGAAUUGACAAAUGAAUUUCUGACAAGCAAAGCAGAGCGGUAAAGUAAUAAAUACCAUCUAAUUAAUGCAUCUAAUCAAGGUGGCUUUUUCAGUCCUACUAGAACUAUGCUGCUUUAAUGGUUGUAUUGUACAUGAUCAACCAUCAGCAGCGCAAAAUUCAUACUAUUUAUUAAGCAUAAACACAGCUUACGAAUACAUUUGGAUGUAGAAAUUAAAGAUGAAGAAAAUCAUGGUCCUCAUACAUGUUGAAGCUGCCGAAAAUGCCUUUGGGCUGCUGCGUUACUGCUUGUUGCAGCAGUAUCAUCCUUCUCUUCAACAUAGCGACUUAAAAGGUGAGCAACAGUUGUUGCCAGACAACUGAUCAAAGGAAGAGAGAAAAGCAGAUUUAUGGCUUUUCUAAGAUUCAUAUUGGUAACGGACGCUCUAAGUUUAUUAAUAGUUCCUCGAAGAUGGAUAUCAAUAGCAUUAAUUUGACUAGUAUAGGAAAAUCAAAGAGACACGGGAAUUAUAUUAGAGUUUUGUGGCGUGGUUACAAAGCCACAAGCGAACAAAAGAACAAUGAACGUAUAUCCAUAUAAUAUUAUAAUCUAUUUUAUAUGUAUAAACUUACAUCAGUAUAAGUAUUACAUCUUUUUUUAUCUUUUAAUCAAAAUUAAAUCCAUAAUACUUACACUUAAUCAUUUUAAUCCAAUAAAUAGAAAAAAGUAUAACACUUACUCGUAUAAAUGGAUUUUUCCUCAUAUAUAUAAUAUUACAACAUAUAUAGAUAUCUUAUAAGAUUUGUCAUAUGAACAUCUAUGAAAAUAAACUCUUUUAAAUUACAUAUAAGAUAAUUUUUUUAAAAGAGUAAGAUAGUUGCUUUUAAUAGCUUUUUAAAAGAGUAAGAUAGUGUAUUUUAAUUACAAAUUAAAUUAUUUUAAAUUUAUUAAAAUAUUAAAAUUAUUUAAAUUAUAAUUGAAAAUCAAAUCAAUAUAGAGAUAUAUUUUUUAAAAUUAAAAGUAUGAAAGAUGGACUUUAUCUUCUUAAGAAAUAAUUUUAGUUAUUUACCCAAUAAUCUUAUUUAAGAAAUUAUUUAAUUAUCAAAAUCUUUCACACCUGUUUAAAAAUUACAAAAAUUAAGUUCAUCGAAAUCUUUCAAUAAUUUUUUUUUAUCUUAAUUUGAAUCAAUAAAAAAUUAUCUUUUUAAAAAUUUAUGUAAAAUAUUGAAAAUUUAAAUAAUUUCAUGUAAGACAUAAAUUCGAAUAACUUUUCAUAUUAAAUCUUUGCAUAUUAAGAUCAUCAAAAGAAUUACAUUCAGCUCAACUUUAAUUAUCAAAUUUAUAUUUCAAAUACAUGUAAAACAUUUGAUUUCAUCUUUAUCACUUAUUAUAUCCAUUUUAAAUUAAAAAAAUUAAUUUAAAAAUUAUCUACUUAAUCCUAAUUGUCACUAAAGAAUUCUUCUUCAAAUUUAAGACUAUAAAUGUAAUGUGUUAUAUCAUUUUUUUUUCAGUUUAAAAUUUUUUGAAAGUAUAUUCUAUUGCUAUUGCAAUUUAUAUUUUUUGUUUAUAACCUUUUUUCCAAGUUAUAUUUUAUUGCUAUUGUAUGAAAAAUAAUAUUUUUUUCAAUUUAUUUUUUCUUUUUUCACAUAUCUCGAUAUAUUUUUCAUAUUUUGUAAAGCAAUUCAGUAAAGAUUAUAAAAGUAAAAAUAUGUUAAUACAUAUUUUAUUAUUUAAUUCAUCAUUCAAUAAUAUAUAUUUUUAUUUUUUUUAAAAAAAGCAUAAUUUAUUUUUAUUCAAUAUAAUUUUGUAGAUGUAUAAAUAUUAUUGUAGACAAAAAUGAUCCAAAGGGAAGACAUAUCAUUUUUUUCUUACUGUUUUCAGAAAGUUUAUUUUUUGAUGACAAGUCAGUAUAUAUUAAUUUUAUAUAUGUUAUAAAUUUUAAAUAUUUGAAUAUAAUUUUGAAAAGGAACUAAUUUAUAUAUAUACUCUUAUUAAAUAAGUAAAAUUGUUCCAUGCAUUGCAUGAGUCGUAAUCUAGUUAUAUUUAUAAAAUAAUAUUUGUUAUUUUGAAUUAUUUUGAAUUUAAUAUUUUUAAAAUAAUAUUAUAAUCAAUUCACAAUUUCACUUGAUGUUUAGCUGAAGUAGCUAAAUUCUAAUCUAAUCCAUACAUUAAUACUAGUAAGAGCUUAAAAAUAAGUUAUACAUAGUUUGUAAGUGAAGCAAGAGCAACCCUAGCACUCUUGUAGCAUUUGGGUUAUUUUAGUUACCAGUUGGUUGAUUUUUAUUAAAAAAUUAAGAUCAAUUCCAUAAAAGAACUAAGCUGGUUACACAACCACAAUCGAACAAAAGAAUGAUGAACGCAUAUCUAUAUAAUAUUAUAAUCUAUAAUAUACAUACAUAUAAAAGCAUGAAUGUGGAAAAAUUUUUGAAUCGACAAGUAUUGAUAUUUUGGUUCAUUAUAUUUAUAUAAUGAUAUUUGUUAUUUUGAAUUAUUUUUAAUUUAAAAAUAUUAGCCAUAAUCAAUUAAUGUAAAAUUCUAUGUAAAUCUUUUCUUAUUUCAUUAACAAGAGAAUUGUACAUUGAUAAAAAUGAAUGUCUGUUCUAAAUAUGGUCAGAGCUAAAAUUAUAGGAAAAUAUCAACUUAAAUAAGGAAAUACAAUGAGAGAUACACAACAAUCAAAUUAGAAUUAGAUCAAGUCAAACUAAUAGUUUCCUAAUUUCUAGUUAUUUAGAAUAGGAUACUUAGGCAUUCAGGAAUCUUAACAUUAUCUCCCAAGUUGGUCAGUGAAUAUCUUCCAUUUCCAACUUAUUUGUGAUCUCUUGAAAUUUUGAGAUGGAUAACCCUUUAGUCAAAACACCUACUAGUUGAUUUCCUAAUAAAACAUAAGGAGCUAUGAUGAGUCCAUUAUCCAACUUUUUUUUUAUAGUGUCUAUCAACCUCAAUGUGCUUGGUACAAUUAUGUUGAAUCGAGUUAUGAGCUAUGCUAAUAGCCAACUUGUUGUCACAAUACAAUCUCAUUGGUCCAUCUAUUUCUGCUCAUAGGUCUUUUAGAAUAAUCCUAAGCCAUAGAAGCUCACAAAUUCCAUGUGCCAUGAACUAAACUUUUACUUCAGCACUUAAUCUUGCCACAACACUUCAUCUUUUGCUCCUCCAAGUAACUAGAUUUCUAGCUAUAAAAGUAUAAUAGCCAGAAGUAGAUCUCCUAUUUAUUAAAGAUUCUAAAUAAUCUAGCUCAUUUCAUCUCUUAAACAAAAUUCCCUUUCUAAGAGUAUCUUUCAAAUAUUGUAGAAUUUUGUGAACCACUUAUAGAUGUUCCUCUCUUGGGUAAUGCAUAUACUAGUUGACUACACUCAUUAGAUAGGCAAUGUUAGGUCAAGUAUCUAAAAGAUAGAUUAAUCUCCUAACUAACCUUUGCUAGCAUCUUUUAUCAACUAUUCCACUUUGUUAUCUCAACUUAGCUUGUGAUUUGUGUCAAUAAGAAUACUUGAAGCUCUACUUCCUAGAGUCUUAUUUCUUUAAGCAAGUCUAGUACAUACUUUCAUUGAGACAAGAAUAUCUCUUACUUGGAGUAUGCCACUUAAAUCCUAAGAAAGUACUUUCAUUUAUCUAACUCUUUAAUUUCAAACUCUUAGGCUAAUUAAGCUUUCAAUCUCUUUUUCUCCUUUUUAUCAUUCCCAGUAACAAUAUGUUAUAAACAUACACUAAUAACAUAGUAAUUUUCUUUUUUUGCGAGUGUUUGAUAAAUAAAAUAUGAUCACUUUGACUUUACCUAUAGCUAAAUCUUACCAUUGCCUUAGUAAAUCUUCCAAACCUGGCCUUCGGUGAUUGUUUUAAUCCAUACAAGGCCUGUUUUAACUUACAAACUUUAUUAAGGCCAAGUUCUUCAUCAAAUCCUAGCAAGGGUUCCAUGUACAUUUCUUCUUCCAAAUCUCUAUGGAAAAAUUUAUUUUUUUACAUGAAAUUGUUGGAGUUCCCAUUCAAAAUAAGUAGCUAGUGAUAAGAGAAUUCUUACUAUAUUCAUCUUUACUACUAGAGAAAAAGUCUUUUGGUAGUCUACACCAAAGAUCUAUGCAUAAGCCUUUCGUAACUAACAUUGCUUUGUAGCUAUUAACAGUGUCAUCUACUUUAACCUUCAUAGUAUAGAACCACUUGCAUCUAAUUGCUCUCUUGUCUUUAAGACAUGUGACUAUCCUAACUUUUAUUCUAUUCCAAGGCCUUUAUUUCUUCCUUCAUUGCACGUGUCCAAUUCUUAUCUCUUAAAGCUUUUUGUAAUGUUUUGGGAAUUUAAAAUAAGUUCAUGGUAAAGAGAAAGCUUUUGUGUUAUGUGAUUAAAAGAAGCGAGAAAAUAAAGUUAGAUAUGAGGUGUUGAGUGUACUUUCACAUCUUUUUCUCUAGGUUAUAGGAUGGUCUACGUCAUUUUCUAGUAUAGGCUAAUGAUCACGUGAGACAAAAUAAUUUUCUUAAAAAACAUGUAUAUUUAAAGUGUUUUCAUUACUUAUGCUCAAGUCAGGUUCACGGAUCUAUUUUGGUACUUAUGAAAGCUGUAUUAUCCUUGAAUAUUAUUUUAGUUGCUUCAUAAGAGCUUUUGAAAGUUGGUUUUUUGGAUCUGCACUAGGUUCAAAGCUCUACAGAUUUGAAGUUUUUGCUAGAAUGGUCUUGGUUUCAUCAAGUGAGGUUGGAUUGCCUUAAAUUUCAAUGAUUUUAAUAGGCAAUGUAGGUUCAAUAUUUGGAUUAUCGUAUGUAACUGGCUUGGUUUCAUAAUACAAAUACAACAAAAAUGAAAGGGUAAAACUUUCAAGAAAAGAUGUAAAACCUGAGCUCACAUCUUCCUUGGAUAACUUUUCCCCUUAAAGAUGAGUAAUAAGAAACUUGUAAAAUGGUUCACCUUCUUAGAAUGCAACAUCCAUGGAUACAAAGAUUCGAUGGGUAGAAGGACCAUAGCAUUUGUAGCCAUUUUGAGUAGAGGAGUAGCCAAUUAAAAUACAUUUCUUGGCACGAAGAUUUAACUUGGAAUGGUUGGUUUUGUAAAUGUGUAAGUAGGUUAUGCAACUAAACACCUUGGGAAAUACUUUAAAAGGAGAUAGAAAUGGAAAAAUACUUAGAUAGAGUGGACAAAGGGUUUUUAUUGCACAUAACUUUGGAAAAAAGUCAAUUUACGACAUGAGUAGCUAUGAAGACUACUUCAUCCUAAAGAAAUUUUGGGACAUUUGACUGCAAUAAAAUGGCACAAGUUACUUUUAAUAGGUAACUAUUUUUUUGCUUAACAAUUUCAUUUUGUUGGGGAGUUUCAACAUAAGAUGUCUUAUGAAUGAUAGUAUCUUUUUCAAAAAAUAAGAAAAGAGUUUGAUUAAAGAAAUCCCUGGCAUUACCAAAUUGAAUUCUUUUGAUUUGUACCCCAAAUUGUGUAGAAAUCAUUUUUAAAAUUAAGGAAGGAUGGUAGUGAGUUUUGAUUUUCCUUUCAUGAGAAACAACCAUGUUAUGAGAGUGUAAUCAUCAAUAAAAGAGACAAACCAUGUGCCCCAUUAACAGUAGGAAUUUUCAAAAGUCCCUAAAUAUGAAAUUGAAUUAAAAAAAUGGCUUAUUGUUCUUUAUUGAUUUACAGAAAAAGAAGCACAAUGAUAUUUUGCAAAUUGACAAACAUCAUAAUGAAAAUUAGUGAUUGAUUGCCAUUGCAAGUGCAUGGUUCGUAACAAGUAAUAGAGUAAUGAGUAAAGUUUGUUUCCAUGGAGAUUGUAUAUAAAGUUAAAGUAUCAAAAUUGUAACACCCUAAUUAUAUUCAAACAAAUAAAAUAUAAGCAAUUAACUAUACUACUAUGCAAAUCAAAAAUCAAAUAAUUAAACCAAACUAAUCAAAUGCAGCAGCCAAAUUAAUCUAAACAUACAAACUAAUUAAAGUAGCAACUACCUAAAAUUAACUGAAACCAAAACUUAGAAUUAAUAAUCAAAAUAGUAAAUGAAUUAAUAUGUAAAACAAAAAAUUUAAACUAUGCAGAAUUGUAGAAACAGAGUUUAAAUAUGAUGUAGUAAAUUAAAACCUAAUGCAGUAGCUAAACAUUAUAUACAUAAGUGAAUUAAACAACUAAUGCAAUAACUAAACACGAAACAAAAUUAAAAGGUUUGUAUGCUAAAAUAGAAAAUAAACUAGUGCAAAAACUUAAAGCUGUAAAUUAAAUAAUAACAUGUAGUAAACUUUUGAAAACUAAAAACAAAAAAGUAAAUGCUAAUCUAAUCCAGUAAACAUGAAAUUAAAACAUGUAGCAAUUAAAAUCCUAAACAAAAAACUAGAAACUGGAAUUUUUAAUAAAGAACAUAAUGUUGUAAACAUGCUAAUGCCAAAAUUGAACAAGAAUGGUAAAAUUGUAAAUUGAAUCUUGAACUGAAAAUUAAAAUAGAAAAUUGUAAAUAUCAAAUUAAAUCGAAAUGGAAAAAUUUGCAAAAAUAGUAAUUGAAGUCAAAACUUAGAGAGCUUAAACAAAUAAUUAAAAGAACUUAAAACUAGAAUUAAAAAUUAAACAAAUUAAACUUGAAAAUUAAAUUGUAGAAAAAAUUGUUUAAAACUUAAAAGUACUUAGAGAAAAUCUAAAGAACAAUGAAAGAAAACAUAAGACUACGGAUUGGUUUAUCACCCCAAAUCCAUGCUUUUUUUUUCCCAAACCUAGCUAUUUAUAGAACAAGAAUACAAAGAAACCCUAGACUAAUAACUAGCAGAUCUUGAAUUCUUGAAGUGAUUAGCUUCAGCCAAACUUGGAUUCUUUCUUGUAGAAGUCUUUUUGACUUGAGUCUUUAUUGUGCUGAUUUAACUUGGCUCUCUUUAAUUUAUGUACAUGGAAUCUCAAGAUUAUUAUAUUUUGACUUGGCUUCAAUAUUAUUGACUUGUUACUUAAAAAAUAAAAGUAAAAUGUACCUAUUUUUUUUUAAAUUGAGAAGAGAUUUGUUCUUUUUCAAACUUUCUCAAGCUUUAGAAACUUUCCAUAUCUUUUCGGUUAAAUGUCUAGAACUCUUUCUUGUUUUGAGUGAUUAUUUCCAUAUUUGCCUCUUACUUAUUGGUGAGGUUGGCUUGGCCUUAUGUGUAACCCUUAAAACCCUUUGUUCAAGCCAAAACUUGUACCUUGUUGUAUAGUUUGAAACAUGUAUCGUGAGUAUGGCAUGGUUUCUUACAGUAUGAACACCAUAUCCCUUUUCUGUUAUAUUGUUUUCCCAAAUCAAGCCUAGUGUUAUCACCUAGUCUAGGUCCAUUCUUAUCUCCUUCUUUAGUCUUUCUAGCACCAUAGUAGUAGCUUCAAAUGUAUAGGAUUCUAACAUAACUUCCCAUUGACUCUAUUCAGCUUGAACAAUAGAAAAUAUUUCAAGAAGUGUUAGGAUUGGGUCUUUACCAAGAAUUUAUACUCUAACUUGAUCAUAGUAAGUAUUCAACCUUGCUAAGAAUUCAAAUGCUUUAUCAUGCUCUAAAAACUUUUGGAAUAUCUAAAUAUCAUCACUAUUUUUCACCUUUAGGUCAUGGUAGUCAUCGAUUUUUAGCUAUAAACCUAUCAUUUUAGUAUAGUAGUUUGUGAUGAACACGUUUCUUUGCUUAGCAGAGACAACUUGCACCUUUAACUCAUAAACAACUAUAAUAUCAUUCUUCUUAAAAUAAGUCUAUUGUAGUGUCUCCCAUAUGGCUCUUACAAUAAAAAGAAACAUCACAUUUCAACUAAGCUCUAGUUUCAUAGAGUUUCAUAACCAUGACAUGAUCAUGGAGUCUUUUUUGUCCCAUAUCUUAAACUUGCGUGUUUAAAGCUUGGGCCAUCAUUGGUUAAGUUAUAGAUCUUCCCUCGUCCCUUGAAGAAAGUUCAAGCAAUCUGACUUCAUUAUAGGUAAUUUGUUCCAUCAAGAUGAUAGAAUGGGUUCAUACUCUAGAGUUCAUUGUUUGAACCAAUCAAGUGAUGGUUAUUCACAUUGGAUAAUGAAACAGUAGCAAGUUCAGUCGUAGCCACAAAUGGCAUAUAAGGUAAAGAGGUAAUGAAGGUUGUAGACAUCUUUAGGUUAAUUGUUUAAGGAAGGAACAUAUUGCAAUGAAGGUAAAAAGAUGGAAGAAAGGUAUCAAGCGAUUAAGGCUAAAAUAAAAUAACAAAAAGACUAAAGGAAAGGCUCUAAUACUAUGUAAAAUUUUAUGCAAAUCCUUUCUUAUUUCAUUAACAAGAAAACUAUACAUUAUAUAGAAAGAAGUGUCUAUUCUAAAUAUGGAUAGAGCUAUAAUUAUAGGAAAAUAUCUAUCUAAACAAGAAAAUAUAAUAAAAGAUACAAUACAAUCAAAUCAAGUCAAAGUAAUAGUUCUUUUAUUUCUAGCUAUUUAGAAUAGGAAACUUAGACAUAAUUUUAAAAAUCUUAACAAUUAACAAUUUUACUUGGUGUUAGUUGAACUAGCUAAAUUCUAAUCCAAUUCAUACAUUAAUACUAGUAAGAGUUUAAAAUAAAGUUGUAGUUUUUUAAGCAAGAGUUACCCUAGCACUCUUGUAGCAUUUGGAUUAUUUUGAUUUGGGAGUUAUCACUUAAUUGAUUUAUUAGGACCAAUAAACCAAAAUUAAGGAUAGCAUGCAAUCAAUAUCUAGCCUGACUCUCUAAAUGUGUCUUUAGUGGAGUCACUAAGCUGUCAUGACGUCUUGGGACCUAGGGGUGGGUGACCCGAAAGCCGAACGAAUGAAAAAAUUUGGAAAAUGAAGGCUAAAAAUAUUUACAAUAAAAACAAAACAAGAAGUCACCACCAAUCUUUUUUAGGGUAUGAUUGGUCACCUAAAAAUUUUAUCCUUUUAAUAAAAUAUUUAAAAUUGGUUUAAAAAUUUUAUGAUAAGAACAAUUUUUUGGUUUGCGAAAUUAAAGUUGGGUCUGGGAGUCGGUUACGUGUGGGGAGGGAUUAGCACCCCCAUAAUGCCUAUUGAAAAUGGUACUAAUUGAUUGCAUGUUAUCCUUGAAUUUUGGUUAAAAUGAUCCAAUUUUCCUUAAUGUUUAAAAUUAAUUCCUUUUUUUUCUUUUUUUCUUUUUGAAAACAAAUCAAAAUUUGAAAAAAAAUUACUUUUUUUAACUUUUGGACCAAAAUGAAAACACUUUAAAUAUUGAACACUUUUUUCACUCUCCUAUAAUUAGGUCGAGCUUUAAAAAUUUUUCUAAUUUAAAGGUUUUCAAAUUACCCCACAAAAUUGAGAUAACACCUCUCAUAAAUAAUAAUUAUCGAGUCCCUUUAUAGUUAGGCAAGAUCUCAAUUACUAUAUUUACUUGGGAUAUUAUCUUAUUUUAAAACAUUUUAACAUUGAAAACAUAUUUUUGAAAACAUAUAUAUAAAAUGCACAAACAUAAUAACAUGAUGAAUGCAUGGCAAUAUAACUUGAAUGACAAUGUGUGAAUGCAUGACAAUAUAAAAAUACAUGUGAUGACAAGGCAAAAUGAAAUGCAAAUGCAUGAUUAGUUUUAGGGUUUGAGGGUUGGUUUUGGGGUUUGGGUUGGCUUGGGGUCUAAGUUAGGGUUUAAGGUUUAGUUUGGGAUUUAGGGUUUGGUUUAUGGUUUGUCUUAGGGUUUAGGGUUUCAUGAAAUUUGGGGUUUUAUGGGAUUUGGGGUUCAUAAGAUUAUGCAUGUGAUAAAAUCAAAUUACAAAAAUGCCAUUAGUGAAAGCAUGUAACAAAAGCAUGAUAUGGAAAAAAAUAAUUACACACCAAGGUAUUUAUAAAAUUAAAUCACAAACAAGAUAUGUAUGAAAAUUUGAGAGAAAAUUGGAUCAAACAUGAAAAUAUUUUCAAAUUGGUUUGAAUGGUCUACCAUUUUUUCUUUAAUAACCAAGCCAAGUGACAUAAAAAAUCCUAAAACAACCUAUUAAACUAGCUUUUUUUUUUCUUGAAAAAUUGAUCCAAUACUUUGAAAACUUGGAAAAUCUUAUCAAAAACUCAAUCAAAUACAUAAUCAAGGCAAGAAUUAACCCCAAAAUGAAGAAGAAGGUUUGGCCAAACCAAGAACCACCCAUGGCUGAACCUUUUCAUGUCAUUGCAUCACCACAUUUUCACUUUAUUCAAGCUAAACACACCUCAUUUACCUUCCAAAUGAUCAUGUGAGGUCAUUCACAUCAUAAGGAGAAUUUUAUCAAACAUGAAACAAGCUAAAAUAACAAAAAACAUAUGAACAACUAGAGCAUGAGCUAAACACCAUUAUAUAUCAUCAACAAAGAAAAAUUUGUACAAAACAAAAGUAGACUCACCAUUUAAUCAUGUUAAACAACAUUUGAAAGCAAAUAAAACAUUAAGAGGUGCCAAGAAGAAGUUUGGCCAUGGUGGAGGAGUGUUAGCCGAACAUCCAACUUGGUUUUUAAUGGUGGAUUCUUGUGUUUCUUUGUUGCUUGAUUUCUAGCUUCAAACCAACCUUUUAAUUAGUUAGUGUAGACACCUAAUUUUGUUUGAAAUAUUUUAUUAUUUGAAUCUAGGCUUAUUUCUGUAAUUAGGCCUCGAUCAUAAUUUUUGAGCCCAUUACAUGAUCCACUUAUAAAUGCUUUGGUAUGAGGUUCAAUAUGGGCCUUAUAGAGAGGCGUGUUGUAGAAGUUUGAAUGAAUGCUUAAAAUGGCCUAAUAAAAAGGCCCAAUAAAAGGCCCAUCCUUAAAACCAAUUGUUGGCCCUUAAGCAAAAUAAUAAUAAUAAUAAUAAUAAUAAUAAUAAUAAUAAUAAACAAAAAGAAAUAGAAAAUGCAAGAAAAUGCUUGGCCAAAAAAUAUAAUAAAUAGAUAAAUGAAAAUUUGAAAGCCUAAAACCCUAAAAAAAGAAAGGAUCCAACAAAAAAAUCAAUAAAGGCCUACAAUUAAACAUAGCUAACAAAAACAAAGGCCCAUUCGACCUUAUUUAAAUGGCUAAAUUCAUAGCCCAACCAAUGUAUGAGAAAAUGAGGUUAAGGAACAAUUACUUCGUGCGUGCAAAAAAUUGAAAACUGUAUGAGAAGUGGCCAACCAACAUGGGUGUAAGGAGAAACUGCAUACAAAAGAUAAAAAAACAAAAAGGAAAAGAAAAAAGAAGCACGGUUAUGAAGAAAGAGAGAGAGGUGUAAACCAAAAGUAAAAGAAAAAAACUAAAGCAUAAACAAUUGAAGAACAAGUAAAAAAAGAACAUAAAGCAUUCAAAAACUAGGUAGCAAAAGAAACGUGAACUAGAAAAUAGGAAAAACAAAAAAACCAAGAAAAGAAAUAGCAGUAAGAACAAAAGAAAAAGAAACAGAGGAAAAAGAGAAAUUUGUGCAAAAAAGGUCUCUUUCUAUAUGAAAACCUGAACUUUACUUGUCAUUCACUCUGCUUUUGUUCCUGCAUGAGUUGUUGCAAAUUGUGUGGUUUAUGUUUAGUUGAAAUGCAUGCUCAAUGCUUGAUAUUUGCUUAUCCUGUUAAGUUUGCUGGUUGUUUUUUUUUUUUUCCUUCUUUGCUACAUAAUUGUAUGAAAAUGAUAAAAGCAUGGUAGGGGAAAAAGUUUCAAAGCCAAGUUUUAUUUCUUUCUUCUUUGUCAAAAAACUCAGCAUUAGUUAUGUCUAUGGCCAUCUAGUUUUAAUGUGAAAAAAUUUUUUAAAAGAAAAAAAAGUAAAACACAACAGUAGGAGACGAUGAUGGCUUGUAUGGGGAAAAUUAAAGCUUGUUUUUCUUUCCUUUUACCUGCUUACAGCUUUUGCAUAGUGUACAACUUUUAUCCCUUUCUUGUUUAUUGUUUCUUUAUAUGGGACUAUGUGCUUUGUUCAAGCUUAAGGUUUUUUUCUUUUUAUUGCUAAGCUUUCUUAUUGCAUGAGAGAUUAUUGUCUAAAUUAAGCUCCAUCCAAUUCAUUCUUAUUAAGAUCUCUUUAUAUAAAAUUUGUGUGGAGUCCUGAAGUCUUGGUGUUGUUCAUAGAUGUUGGUUAGUUAUCCUUUUCUUGCUUAGGACUAUAUUGUUUACCACUUAUGCAUCCAAGUUUUAUUAGGAUAGAAAGAUUUUUAUUUUUAUUUUUAUUUUUAUAUAAAUAAAGACUUAAAAUUAAAAGGUUGAAAAUUUCUUUAUUUUUAAUAAAGUUCAUUUUCACGCAUAUUUUAUACCAUUUAUGUUCAUGCACAUUUUUCUUAUGUUGUUUGAGUGCAAUUUAAAUUUUAUGCAUGUUUAAUUUCCUUGCUAGUUAAAUUUCUAUGCUUAUUUUAGUUUUUAUGCAAUUAAUUUCCAUGUUGUAAAUUGCUUUAGAUGUAAUUUAUUCUCAAUACAUUUUAAAUUUAUUAAUUUCAUCAUGCUUUUUAAAAAAAAUAAUAAAAGUAAAUAAUAGAUAUAUAAUAAUAAAAAUAAUAAAAAAUUUUAAAAUCCCUACCUAUAUGUUGGAAGGAGUUCAAAAUCGGGUUUUAAAUUUUUUUUACCUAGUUGUUGGAAAAUUAUUAAAUAAUGUAAGAUAAACAAUUAAACAAUAAUAAUAACAAUAAUAAUAAUAAUAAACUUUUAAUGAAAAAGUAAAAAAUAUAAAAAAUAAUUUUUAAAAAUCAUAAAAAACUAGGUUACUCCAAAAGUCUGCAUAGAUGUUAGAGAUUUUUAGAAAAGUUCAUAAAUUUGUGAAACCUUAACCCGAAACCUUAAGUGAAACCCUAAUGUGAAACCUUAAAACGAAACCCUAAAUGAAAACCUAAAAUGAAACCCUAGGUGAAGCCCUAAACCUUAGGUAAAACCUUGAACCUUAAAUCUACACAAAUCUCUAUAACCAUCAUAAAUUUUUGAGAAUUUAUAUAAAAACGUUUCAUGAAGUAAUCUGUUCCCAAAUACCACUUAGACAAUGGAGUAUUUAGAAAAAUUUUAUUUUAUUAAAAUUGUUCAUAUAAUUCUUUACUUAAAAUAAUGACAAAAUUAAAUCACAAUAAAAAUAAAAAUAGGAUCUUAAAUAUAAAUAGUCACAUCCAAACAUUGCUUAGAAGUUAAAAAGUUCAUAUGGUUUCUUUAUAUUUAAGGACCUUGUUCCUAAAUUAGUAUCUUAUCAUCAUUUGCAUUUAUCCAUUUUUAAAUCAUUGUUUGCACUUAUCAUGCAUAUAUAUAUUUAUUUUAAUUAUUGAUGUUUAUUGUUAAUUAUUGCAUUUACCAUUUUUACUGUAUAAAGAAAAUUUUUGAAAAAUUAAAAUAACAUUCCAAAAAAGAUGAAUAUUGGUACUUUACCUAGAUGUUGGAAAGUCACUAACAAUUAUCAUUUGCAAAGAAUGUCAUUUUUACUUUAGAGGAAUUUUAUGGCGAAUCUCAAGCCGAAAGAAUUAUCUUUGCAUUCUGCAUAGAUGUUAGAGAAUUUUAAGAUAUUUCUUUAACUUAAAGAAUUUCACAAUAUUAUUAAAUAAAAAUUUUUAAUUGAUCUUGUUUCUUAAGAAAGGGAAUUAUUAUUAAAUCUUAAAUAAAAAAAUUUUUUAUCCAAAAUUAUAAUAGUACAUGGUUAAUUGGUACUAAUUUUUAUAGGUGAUGGGGGUGCUAGUUCUUCCUUACUCGUAACUAACUCCCGAACCUAAUCUUGUUUUCGUAUAUCAAAAUUAUCUUUUUAAUAAACUUUAAACCUGUUUUAUUGUUUCAUUAAAAAGAUAAAAUUUUUGGGUGGUCAAUCACACCAUAAAAAAAGAUUGGUGGCGAUUUCCUGUUUUUCUUUAUUUUAAAUGUUUAUGUUUAGUGAUCGAGUUUUCAACCUAAUACAUUAUGACAACUUACUAAUUCCACUGGAGACAUUUUGAGAGUCAAGCUAAAAAUUUUAAUCAUGUGCUAUUGAAAGUUUUGGAUUUAAUUCACUUUAUUUGAUAUUUAAUUUAAUUCCCUUUAUUUUAAGUUUUUCAAAAAAAAAUUAGUAAAUUGCAUGUUAGUUAUUAUCUUGUUUUGAUUUUGUUAUUUGUAAUUUAUUUAUGUUAUUUUGUUUAAUAUAUUGCUUUGCACACUUUUGUACAUUCACUAUUAUGUAUGAGCUUUAGACUCAGGCUUUAUGCUUAUUAGGAGGAAGUUAAGUAGCUAUGCUCUCAUGAGGUGAUAACCUCCGCAUUAUUAGUGAAACACUUUCAUUUAGAUCGAACCCUUUUCCAUUUAUAACUUGUAAUGGGUGAGGACUAGUGUGCCUUAUUAGUAUGUAAUGGAUGAUGAUGUAAGGUUUAAUCUGGGAACCUUUAGAUGAAUAAGUCCUGACCCAACAUAUCAUGAGCUAUAGGAAGCUUGUCGAGGGUAGAGCCAAGUCGCCUUUUUGGAAAAUAAUCAAAAGUUAGGACACUGUAUAUAUUAUGUUGUUUUAUAUAGUUGUAUGUUAUUUCUAUUCUUUUUUUGUUUUGGAUUAUUGAUUCAUUUUUAUUUGUAUAGUCUUUAAUUUUGUCAUAUACAUUAUAUAGGCAUUAUAUUUUAAAAGAGGGUAUUUGUUUUAGGUUUGUCAUUAGCAAAAAAGUUUUUAUGAAGCCAUCAAUAAUGUCAACCCUUUAUAGAAAUUAUUUAGAAGUUAAAAAUCAUGCCAAUCUCUUUUGUAGAAAUUACCUAAAAGUAGGAUAUAUGGGGCAUUUUGAUGCAAUUUAUGUUUAAGGUAAUAAUGUAAAUAAAGUUAGGAUAAAAAAAGAGUCCAAAUAAAAAUAAAGGUAAAAAAAAAAAGAGAGAGAUUUAGGAUAGGUAAAGAGUUUGUCAUCUUUUUAGAAUUCAAUCAUUACAUUCUACAUUCAUUGUUAAGGUAAUUUGUAUAUUUUGGGUUGUUCCAUUUUUAUUUAUAUAUUUGCAUUGUUAUCAUACUUAGGCAUUCAUAAACAUAUCUUGUGUAGCAUGCGGAUAAGAAAUUGUUUUAUGUAAUUUAUUCAGCACUAAUAAUAACAUAAACACUU